UACGAAGGGGGCUAGCGUUGCUCGGAAUCACUGGGCGUAAAGGGCGCGUAGGCGGCCGAUUAAGUCGGGGGUGAAAGCCUGUGGCUCAACCACAGAAUUGCCUUCGAUACUGGUUGGCUUGAGACCGGAAGAGGACAGCGGAACUGCGAGUGUAGAGGUGAAAUUCGUAGAUAUUCGCAAGAACACCAGUGGCGAAGGCGGCUGUCUGGUCCGGUUCUGACGCUGAGGCGCGAAAGCGUGGGGAGCAAACAGGAUUAGAUACCCUGGUAGUC
rnacentral:rRNA from 1 species